UGCAAGUUGAGCGCUGAAGACUGGUACUUGUACCGGUUGGAUGAGCAGCCCUUGGGUGAGUAACGCGUGGGUAACCUGCCCUAUAGAGGGGGAUUACUAGAGGAAACUUUAGCUAAUACCGCAUAAAAUCUAAUAACACAUGUUAUAAGAUUGAAAGUGCCAACUGGUACACUAUAGGAUGGACCCGCGUUGUAUUAGCUAGUUGGUGAGGUAAAGGCUCACCAAGGCGAUGAUACAUAGCCGACCUGAGAGGGUGAUCGGCCACACUGGGACUGAGACACGGCCCAGACUCCUACGGGAGGCAGCAGUAGGGAAUCUUCGGCAAUGGACGAAAGUCUGACCGAGCAACGCCGCGUGAGUGAAGAAGGUUUUCGGAUCGUAAAACUCUGUUGUAAGAGAAGAACACCAGUAAGAGUGGAAAGCUUACUGGCUGACGGUAUCUUACCAGAAAGCCACGGCUAACUACGUGCCAGCAGCCGCGGUAAUACGUAGGUGGCAAGCGUUGUCCGGAUUUAUUGGGCGUAAAGCGAGCGCAGGCGGUUCAUUAAGUCUGAUGUAAAAGGCAGUGGCUCAACCAUUGUAAGCAUUGGAAACUGGUGAACUUGAGUGCAGUAGAGGAGAGUGGAAUUCCAUGUGUAGCGGUGAAAUGCGUAGAUAUAUGGAGGAACACCGGAGGCGAAAGCGGCUCUCUGGACUGUAACUGACGCUGAGGCUCGAAAGC
rnacentral:rRNA from 1 species